GAAAAAUCAACACUGCAACGGGAGUCUAGAUGGGCUGGGAAGGAAAAUCACAUGAGACUUCGUUGGUGUCCUGGGAGGACAGGAUGAGCACUUCCACCCUCGAGUGCAUUUGUAUUUCAGGACUUCCAGUUGAGUGGUGUCCACAGCAGGUCACUGAGAUGUGAGCGUGGAGAGAGGAGCCUGCAUGACCAGACUAGAACUCAGGGAGCUGGCGCUUCUCAAAUUCCUGUUGAUCCAAAGCAAAUUCACCUCAGAAGGGGAGAGCGCACUUACUGCCAAGAGAAGACUGUGACUCACACCUCGAAUAGACCGUCUUUCUUUUUGCAAGGAGGAGGCCCGGAAGGAUGUCUCACUGGGAUCUCGGGGAGCACAUGAGACAGCAGAGGCACCCAGGAAGAGUGGUGAAGUAAGACCAAUGAGAAGUACAUCGUAAUUCACUAUAGCAAAUGUUAACCAUUUCUGGAAAAGGGAAGUCCUGCCAACUAACUACUGGUGCAGCUGUUAAGCUGGGUUGGUGGAGGCCUGUAGCUGCUGCAAGGUGUUUGUGUUUUCAGGUUUCCUUCUACAGCAUGAGGGCCCCUACUUCCCUUUCUGGAUGCCCCUACACUUCAGUAACUCAAUAUGGAGGAGAUUUCUCUGCUCCCAAACACCAGCAGGAAGAGAGAAACUGUGAAGGCAGUCGGUCUGCAUCACAGUUGUUGUGGUCACCCCCGCACUGUGUCCCUGUCCACACCAUGCCACCCAUGAUGGCGUGGCAGCCACUUUUCACCUGCAAGGACACCGAUCGUAGAGUGAAGAUUUCCAGCACGCUGUGAUGUUUCACUUUAACAACCGCAGGAGGAGGAUGUGAUGUUAUCUCCAUUGAUGGAGACACUUUGGAGACAUGGAGAGGUUAAGAAACUUUCUCGAGGUCAUGCAGUAGGAGGUGGCAGCCCAGGGUUCAGCUUCAGUCCAACUGCCUUUUCACCAGUGUUCCUGCUUUGCUUCCCCAGAUGCGCAGCUGACCCUCUUAUCUCAGCUGACAUGGUUAAAAGUGAGAAUGGAUGGAUCCCGUGCAGGGAAGGCCCGUGACAUCAAACCCAACCCUCGCCCUCAAAGUGGAAUAAUCCGUACUCUCCAAAGGAGUCUCUGAUGGUGAUUUGAUCCGGACCUCACGGAUCCACACUUUGGCUUUUUAUCUGUUGUGUCCUCAUUUCUCAAACUUGGAAAUUUCCAUGCAAACAGAGCUGCAGAAGGAAAAAAAUGUGUUCCAGUUUGCCAGUAGAAAUACAAUGCAAGACACAUGAGUAAUCAUGUAUCUUCCAGGAGCUGUGCAUUAGAACUGUAAUAAGAAACAGGUGC
rnacentral:lncRNA from 1 species